rnacentral:rRNA from 1 species
UACGUAGGCAGCAAGCGUUGUUCGGAAUUACUGGGCGUAAAGAGUGUGUAGGCGGUGUUCUAAGUUUGUCGUGAAAUCUCCCGGCUUAACUGGGAGGGUGCGGCGAAAACUGGAAUGCUAGAGGAUGGGAGAGGUAAGCGGAAUUCCUGGUGUAGCGGUGAAAGGCGUAGAUAUCAAGAGGAACACCUGCGGCGAAGGCGGGUUGCUGGGCCGACACUGACGCUGAGGCGCGAAAGCUAGGGGAGCGAACGGG